UACGUAGGGUGCGAGCGUGUCCGGAAUUAUUGGGCGUAAAGAGCUCGUAGGCGGCUUGUCGCGUCGGAUGUGAAAGCCCGGGGCUUAACUCCGGGUCUGCAUUCGAUACGGGCAGGCUAGAGUUCGGUAGGGGAGAUCGGAAUUCCUGGUGUAGCGGUGAAAUGCGUAGAUAUCUGGAGGAACACCGGUGGCGAAGGCGGCAUCCUGGACCGGUAUUGACACUGAGGCGCGAAAGCCAGGGGAGCAAACGGG
rnacentral:rRNA from 1 species